rnacentral:rRNA from 1 species
GUGUCAGCAGCCGCGGUAAUACGUAGGUGGCAAGCGUUGUCCGGAAUUACUGGGUGUAAAGGGCGUGUAGGCGGGUUACUAAGUCAGAUGUGAAAUUCCGGGGCUCAACCCCGGCGCUGCAUCUGAAACUGGUAAUCUUGAGUGCUGGAGAGGAAAGCGGAAUUCCUAGUGUAGCGGUGAAAUGCGUAGAUAUUAGGAGGAACACCAGUGGCGAAGGCGGCUUUCUGGACAGUAACUGACGCUGAGGCGCGAAAGCGUGGGGAGCAAACAGGAUUAGAAACCCGCGUAGUCC